rnacentral:lncRNA from 1 species
CCGCUGGCUGCGCCGCCCCGACGGCCCCGGCUGUUCUUGGCGAAGAAGAUGGCCCAGCCCACCACCACCACCAGACAGUGCUUUACCAUGGAACUGAAACCAUGAAAAGUGAAACUGCAAAUGGGAGAGACUGCUGUAUAGUCACUGAAAAAUUAAUGGAUGAGCUCAACAGCAAAUUAGACACAACUGAAACCUUGGACCCAUGUGUGGAAGAUGACAGCAUCACCAACUGGAGGGUGCCUGGAUCCCUGAGUCACCACUUGAAGCAAAAAGGUCAAGAGUAGCCACCUGACCCAUAUCAGGCUAUGAAAUGAAGAGAAAAUGACACGAGGCUUUGGAACCAAGAGCUGGAGGAACCUGGAAGCGAAAGCUGAGGCUGUCGGCUGCCCAGCAGUUAACACCCUGAGACCAUCUUCCCACUUCCAACACCCACAGAAGCUGCCACCCAAGGGCCCCUGUGUCCCCGCAUGGCCCACCUCAGCAGUAUGAUGCAGCACUGGGGAAGUGACAGAAUGUGAAAAAAACUAUUAUAGCUGAGAUAUUUUAAAAUUCCGCCCUCCAGGCAGCAUCUGGUUGCUACAGCAACCCCAGCUCUGCAGGGUGUCCCGAUUACCAGCAGGCUCCCUGCACCUGCCUCAGGCUGAGAGCAGGCGGCUGCCGCCAAGGGGAACACCAAGGAAAUGCCCAUGUUCUGAUUCCAAGGUAAUGGCUCAGACCCAAGGGGAUUUUAUCUGUUCAAUGUGCAACCUGAUGAAGUUUUGUCCCAUGUUAAUAAUUUCAUUAAAAAUAUGGCCUUACAUCCUAUUCGAUGCACUCAGUCUUUUUUUUUUAUUCACUCGGCUCCAUCAAAACACAAAAAGAUAACAUUGUCAUUCAUUUGGGAUUGAGCAAAUGAAAGCAGCUGGAUGAGUUUUGGUUCCAGGGUUUAGACAAAGCCCCUAAGGGACAAAAUUGGAAUCAGAGCUGAGUGGCUGGCCCUGCUCUCUGGAUUUGCAUAAGUCAUGUGGCAGGACACUUGCUCUUUUGCACCCAGCCUAAAAUAGCUUAUGAUAUCUUUAGGAAACCCAAACGAGUAAUAAAUAGGGGGCUGGGCACUGUGGCUCACACCUGUUAUCCCAACACUUUGGAAGGCUGAGGCAGGGGUAUCACUUGAGCCCAGGAGUUCCAGACCAGCC